GGUAGCGUGGCCGAGCGGUCUAAGGCGCUGGAUUUAGGCUCCAGUCUCUUCGGGGGCGUGGGUUCGCAUCCCAUCGCUGCCA
rfam:Danio rerio chromosome 4, GRCz11 reference primary assembly.